UACGGAGGGGGCUAGCGUUGUUCGGAAUUACUGGGCGUAAAGGGCGCGUAGGCGGCCUGCUAAGUCGAACGUGAAAUCCCUGGGCUCAACCCAGGAACUGCGUCCGAUACUGGUUGGCUUGAAUCCGGGAGAGGGAUGCGGAAUUCCAGGUGUAGCGGUGAAAUGCGUAGAUAUCUGGAGGAACACCGGUGGCGAAAGCGGCGCACUGGACCACAACUGACGCUGAGGCGCGAAAGCUAGGGGAGCAAACAGG
rnacentral:rRNA from 1 species